CAGCCGCCGCGGUAAUACGUAGGCAGCAAGCGUUGUUCGGAGUUACUGGGCGUAAAGGGUGCGUAGGCGGUUCUAUAAGUAUGGUGUGAAAUCUCCCGGCUUAACUGGGAGGGUGCGCUAUCAACUGUGGGACUAGAGUGUGGGAGAGGAAAGUGGAAUUCCUGGUGUAGCGGUGAAAUGCGUAGAUAUCAGGAGGAACACCGGUGGUGUAAACGGCUUUCUGGACCAUAACUGACGCUGAGGCACGAAAGCGUGGGUAGCAAACAGGAUUAGAUACCCCCGUAGUCCCUGUCUCUUAUAC
rnacentral:rRNA from 1 species